ACGCGCGACACAGGAGCCUGAGACCAAGGGGGGAAUGUUGUUAGCUAGCAAUUUUUUUUCUUUUAGUUUAAAUUCAGAGGCUUUAUCCUCUCCUCGCUAUUCACUUUUUGCCCGAUAUCUUGCUGUUCGGUUAAUUAUUUUGGGAUUAGCCAGCUAGCUGACGUUACGUUCCCUCCCACGCGUUGUGUGUUUUUUUUAAUGCAAGGGGGUUAGCCAGUCGGCUAGUCAGUCAGCCAGCUAACUACCAGUAUUAUUAGCUCCCGUCAGUCGCUGGUUUGUUGCGGCUGCCGUUCUGUUCCACUGCUCCUUUGAAUUUGCGACUAACUUUGGUAACGUCGAGUGUUUAUAUUUCGCCAUAAAACGCCAAGUAGACAAGCUAGCCAGUCCGGUGACAUAGUAGAAAAAUAAGCGCUGGGACCCCGGUUAGCCUGUCGCUAACUCCAGGACCAUAAGAUCGGGAGUUUGCUGUCUUUGAAUGAAGAGACGCUUAACCGGAGCUCUACCAUGACGUCCUGAACAAUGUCGGAGGAGUGAGCUUUUUUUUGUUUUUUUUUUUUUGUUUUUUUUUAUUUUUAUAUAUAUUUUUUCCCCUUCACCCCCCCUGCUGAACUCCUGCCCCUCCCUCCCUCCCCUCCCUGCUCUUUUACUUGCUAUGGAAUGCCCUCUUCCUGUGGCCCAACUCGAUCUUCCACUGUAGGAUUUCCCUCUGUUCCCACUGCAUACAGGGGACCAACAGAGCGCAGCUGAUUUCCCCUGCAGCCGCUUCCUUUGGGGUCUCGGAUUCAGCCACCCACCAAUCCCCCCCCCC